CUUCAGAGGGAGAAGGGCCUAGCUGCAGGGAUCUUAGACAAGGAGGUGCCGCAGGGGUGAGUCCGACCCCUCUACAGCUCCCCAUCGACUCCAGAACUCCACCAGGGCGAGAGACAGAAGUGGAAUCUACGAGGGAGCGGCGGACGUCAAUCCCGCACCGUGAGGAAGCAAAAGCCCUGCACAGCCUGUCUCCAGUGAGGAUGCCAUGGCCAGCUGCCCGCCGGGGCACACAGAGCCCCUGACUGCAGGCAA